rnacentral:rRNA from 1 species
GUUUGAUCAUGGCUCAGAACGAACGCUGGCGGCAGGCCUAACACAUGCAAGUCGAGCGAUCCUUUCGGGGAUAGCGGCGGACGGGUGAGUAACGCGUGGGAACGUACCCUUUGCUACGGAAUAGCCCCGGGAAACUGGGAGUAAUACCGUAUGUGCCCUCUGGGGGAAAGAUUUAUCGGCAAAGGAUCGGCCCGCGUUGGAUUAGGUAGUUGGUGGGGUAAUGGCCUACCAAGCCGACGAUCCAUAGCUGGUUUGAGAGGAUGAUCAGCCACACUGGGACUGAGACACGGCCCAGACUCCUACGGGAGGCAGCAGUGGGGAAUCUUAGACAAUGGGGGCAACCCUGAUCUAGCCAUGCCGCGUGAGUGAUGAAGGCCCCUAGGGUUGUAAAGCUCUUUCAGCUGGGAAGAUAAUGACGGUACCAGCAGAAGAAGCCCCGGCUAACUCCGUG